rnacentral:lncRNA from 1 species
UUUGGGGCCUGGAGCUCUAUUGAUAUUGCAGCUUGGCUGCAAGGAGACAGAUUGAAAAUAAAAGCAUUAAAGAUCGUUUUUCACCUGGAUGAGCUCUGCCCUCCACUUCACCAUACAGCAAGUCAGAAGCAUGCCCUGACACAGUGCCAGGAGCAGCAGGGGUAACGACAAGCUGCCAGGGAGAGAAAAAGUCUCCUUGUCUAGUACUGCUGCCAUAUAGGUAACCGUGGUAUUUAGUGACUAGCUAACACUGAUAAUACUUAUCCCAUGCCUGCCCUCUUCCAUGGGACAUAGGAGGGCAUCUACGAUUUUGUGUCUGGCUGUACUGAAAAUUUUGUCACCUGAAAGGCUGUAGACUUUCAUGCCAGUCUUAGCAGUGGUAAAGAGGUAAGCAGGAAGGUGUUGAUACCAAAAGAGAGAGGAGGAUGUGGUGGUAGUAGCCAGUAUUACAGAC